rnacentral:rRNA from 1 species
AUUGAACGCUGGCGGCAGGCCUAACACAUGCAAGUCGAGCGGUAGAGAGAAGCUUGCUUCUCUUGAGAGCGGCGGACGGGUGAGUAAUGCCUAGGAAUCUGCCUGGUAGUGGGGAUAACGUUCGGAAACGAACGCUAAUACCGCAUACGUCCUACGGGAGAAAGCAGGGGACCUUCGGGCCUUGCGCUAUCAGAUGAGCCUAGGUCGGAUUAGCUAGUUGGUGAGGUAAUGGCUCACCAAGGCGACGAUCCGUAACUGGUCUGAGAGGAUGAUCAGUCACACUGGAACUGAGACACGGUCCAGACUCCUACGGGAGGCAGCAGUGGGGAAUAUUGGACAAUGGGCGAAAGCCUGAUCCAGCCAUGCCGCGUGUGUGAAGAAGGUCUUCGGAUUGUAAACUGCUUUGUACGGAACGAAACGGUGAGGCUCUAAUACAGUUUGCUAAUGACGGUACCGUAAGAAUAAGCACCGGC